rfam:Equus caballus chromosome 26, whole genome shotgun sequence.
CACCGGGCAAGCCACCUUGGCUGGUGUGGUCCAGAUAAGCCAGCUUGUUUACAUGCUUAUUCCAUU